UACGUAGGGUGCGAGCGUUAAUCGGAAUUACUGGGCGUAAAGCGUGCGCAGGCGGUGAUGUAAGACAGGUGUGAAAUCCCCGGGCUUAACCUGGGAACUGCAUUUGUGACUGCAUCGCUGGAGUGCGGCAGAGGGGGAUGGAAUUCCGCGUGUAGCAGUGAAAUGCGGUAAGAUAUGCGGAGGAACACCGAUGGCGAAGGCAAUCCCCUGGGCCUGCACUGACGUCAUGCACGAAAGCGUGGGGAGCGAAACAAGG
rnacentral:rRNA from 1 species